rnacentral:rRNA from 1 species
UAGUCUCGCACAGAUGCAUAUCAAUAAGCGGAGGAAAAGAAACUAACAAGGAUUCCCCUAGUAACGGCGAGUGAAGCGGGAAGAGCUCAAAUUUGAAAUCUUAAAGGGUUUCCCUUUACGAAUUGUAGUUUAAAGAAGUGUUUUCUGUUGAGGUUUUGGUAAAAGUUCUUUGGAAUAGGACAUCAUAGAGGGUGAGAAUCCCGUAUUUGACCUUUACUUUCAACUUUGUGAUACACUUUCAAAGAGUCGGAUUGUUUGGGAAUGCAGUCCAAAAUGGGUGGUAAAUUUCAUCUAAAGCUAAAUAUUGGCGAGAGACCGAUAGCGAACAAGUACCGUGAGGGAAAGAUGAAAAGAACUUUGAAAAGAGAGUUAAACAGUACGUGAAAUUGUCAAAAGGGAAGCGUUUGACACCAGUGUUGUUUUUCUGAAAAUCAAUUAAAGAACUGUUUAUGCUAAGCUGUUUAGACUUUAUCAGCUAACUGUUUAGUUUUGAGCUUUUCUUUAAUGCACUUUUCAGUUAACAAGUCAACAUCAAUUUCUUUUGCUGUAAAAAAGCUUGAGGAAGGUGGCUUGAGAUUCGUCUUAAGUGUUUAUAGCCUCUUGCCUAUGCAGUCGGAGAGAUUGAGGUCUGCAGCGUAGAUCCUUCGGGGCUAAAUGCAUUUGUGCUAAGUUAUAGCAUUUUAUAGACAACUUGUUGACUAUGAUUUGUCUUGUAGCUUACUCGCUUAUGUUAUUUUACCUACGCUUAGGAUGUUGACGCAUGAGAUAUACGC